GAUGAACGCUGGCGGCGUGCCUAAUACAUGCAAGUCGAGCGAACAGACGAGGAGCUUGCUCCUCUGACGUUAGCGGCGGACGGGUGAGUAACACGUGGAUAACCUACCUAUAAGACUGGGAUAACUUCGGGAAACCGGAGCUAAUACCGGAUAAUAUAUUGAACCGCAUGGUUCAAUAGUGAAAGACGGUUUUGCUGUCACUUAUAGAUGGAUCCGCGCCGCAUUAGCUAGUUGGUAAGGUAACGGCUUACCAAGGCAACGAUGCGUAGCCGACCUGAGAGGGUGAUCGGCCACACUGGAACUGAGACACGGUCCAGACUCCUACGGGAGGCAGCAGUAGGGAAUCUUCCGCAAUGGGCGAAAGCCUGACGGAGCAACGCCGCGUGAGUGAUGAAGGUCUUCGGAUCGUAAAACUCUGUUAUUAGGGAAGAACAAAUGUGUACGUAACUAUGCACGUCUUGACGGUACCUAAUCAGAAAGCCACGGCUAACUACGUG
rnacentral:rRNA from 1 species